CCUACGGGUGGCAGCAGUCGAGAAUCAUUCACAAUGGGGGAAACCCUGAUGGUGCGACGCCGCGUGGGGGAAUGAAGGUCUUCGGAUUGUAAACCCCUGUCAUGUGGGAGCAAAUUAAAAAGAUAGUACCACAAGAGGAAGAGACGGCUAACUCGGUGCCAGCAGCCGCGGUAAUACAGAGGUCUCAAGCGUUGUUCGGAAUCACUGGGCGUAAAGCGUGCGUAGGCUGUUUCGUAAGUCGUGGGUGAAAGGCGCGGGCGCAACCCGCGGACGGCACAUGAUACUGGGAGACUAGAGUAAUGGAGGGGGAAGCGGAAUUCUCGGUGUAGCAGUGAAAUGCGUAGAUAUCGAGAGGAACACUCGUGGCGAAGGCGGGUUCCUGGACAUUAACUGACGCUGAGGCACGAAGGCCAGGGGAGCGAAAGGGAUUAGAUACCCGGGUAGUC
rnacentral:rRNA from 1 species